rnacentral:rRNA from 1 species
UACGGAGGGUGCGAGCGUUAAUCGGAAUUACUGGGCGUAAAGGGUGCGUAGGUGGUCAAUUAAGUUAUGUGUAAAAUCCCUGGGCUUAACCUGGGCAGGUCAUAUAAAACUGAUAGACUCGAGUAUGGGAGAGGGUAGUGGAAUUUCCGGUGUAGCGGUGAAGUGCGUAGAGAUCGGAAGGAACACCAGUGGCGAAGGCGGCUACCUGGCCUAAUACUGACACUGAGGCACGAAAGCGUGGGGAGCAAACAGG